rnacentral:rRNA from 1 species
GACGAACGCUGGCGGCGUGCCUAACACAUGCAAGUCGAACGGAAGUUAGAGCUUCGGUUUUAACUUUAGUGGCGAACGGGUGAGUAACGCGUGAGGAACCUGCCUUUCAGUGGGGGACAACAGUUGGAAACGACUGCUAAUACCGCAUGACACUUUUGGGGGACAUCCCUUAAAAGUCAAAGCUUUAUGUGCUGAAAGAUGGCCUCGCGUCUGAUUAGCUAGUUGGUGAGGUAACGGCUCACCAAGGCGACGAUCAGUAGCCGGUCUGAGAGGAUGAACGGCCACAUUGGGACUGAGAUACGGCCCAGACUCCUACGGGAGGCAGCAGUGGGGAAUAUUGGGCAAUGGGGGAAACCCUGACCCAGCAACGCCGCGUGAAGGAAGAAGGCCUUCGGGUUGUAAACUUCUUUUACCAGGGACGAAGGACGUGACGGUACCUGGAGAAAAAGCAACGGCUAACUACGUG